UACGUAGGGGGCAAGCGUUAUCCGGAAUCACUGGGCGUAAAGGGUGCGUAGGCGGCUGAUCAAGCCAGGGGUGAAAGGCAAUAGCUUAACUAUUGUAAGCCUUUGGAACUGGUCAGCUUGAGUGCAGGAGAGGAAAGCGGAAUUCCUAGUGUAGCGGUGAAAUGCGUAGAUAUUAGGAGGAACACCCGUGGCGAAGGCGGCUUUCUGGACUGUAACUGACGCUGAGACGCGAAAGCGUGGGGAGC
rnacentral:rRNA from 1 species